rnacentral:rRNA from 1 species
AGUGAACGCUGGCGGUAGGCCUAACACAUGCAAGUCGAACGGCAGCACAGUAAGAGCUUGCUCUUACGGGUGGCGAGUGGCGGACGGGUGAGGAAUACAUCGGAAUCUACUUUUUCGUGGGGGAUAACGUAGGGAAACUUACGCUAAUACCGCAUACGACCUACGGGUGAAAGCAGGGGAUCUUCGGACCUUGCGCGAUUGAAUGAGCCGAUGUCGGAUUAGCUAGUUGGCGGGGUAAAGGCCCACCAAGGCGACGAUCCGUAGCUGGUCUGAGAGGAUGAUACGCCAAACUGGAACUGAGACACGGUCCAGACUCCUACGGGAGGCAGCAGUGGGGAAUCUUGGACAAUGGGCGCAAGCCUGAUCCAGCCAUACCGCGUGGGUGAAGAAGGCCUUCGGGUUGUAAAGCCCUUUUGUUGGGAAAGAAAAGCAGCAGGUUAAUACCCCGCUGUUCUGACGGUACCCAAAGAAUAAGCACCGGCUAACUUCGUG